rnacentral:rRNA from 1 species
UACGAGUGCCCCAAGCGUUAUCCGGAAUUAUUGGGCGUAAAGGGCGUGUAGGUGGUUUUGUUAGUCUUCUGUUAAAUCUCCCGGCUUAACCGGGAAACCGCAGAGGAAACGGCAAGACUAGAGGAUGUGAGAGGUUUGUGGAACUCUAGGUGUAGGGGUGAAAUCCGUUGAUAUCUAGGGGAACACCAAAAGCGAAGGCAGCAAACUGGCGCAUUCCUGACACUGAAACACGAAAGCGUGGGUAGCGAAUGGG